rnacentral:rRNA from 1 species
AUUGAACGCUGGCGGCAGGCCUAACACAUGCAAGUCGAACGAGUGGCGGACGGGUGAGUAAUGUCUGGGAAACUGCCUGAUGGAGGGGGAUAACUACUGGAAACGGUAGCUAAUACCGCAUACCAUCGGAUGUGCCCAGAUGGGAUUAGCUAGUAGGUGGGGUAAAGGCUCACCUAGGCGAAGAUCCCUAGCUGGUCUGAGAGGAUGACGAGCCAUACUGGAACGGAGACACGGCCCAGAUGGCUAUGGGAGGCAGCAGAGGGGAAUAUUGGACAAAGGGGGCAAGCCUGAUAGACACAUGCCGCGUGUAUGAAGAAGGCCUUCGGGUUGUAAAGUAAUGUCAGCGGGGAUGCGUUACCUGCAGAAGAAGCCCCGGCUAACUACGUGCCAGCAGCCGCGGUAAUAC